rnacentral:lncRNA from 1 species
CUAGGAGUCAAGGAGGAUUCUGGGAAAGGUAGGAGAAAGUGCAGAGUCACCAUGUGAGCCUGGAAAGACAGGACGCUUGUUGAUGACAUUCAAUAAGUAGUUUCCCAUCAAAUUUGCUGAAGCUGGACUCUCUACCUAUGUGGACCAUGUGUUCUGACAGGGGGACCAGCUUUACUGUGCAGGACUCAGUAUGACACACGAUCCUCAGUAUACACGACACAGAAGGCAUCAUCUGUAAAAAUCAUUUGAAAAUUUGGGUUACCAAUGGCAAGGCAUUAAACUAUGUGCUGAUCUCUUCUAAGUGCAGGGAUGGCAGAUGGUACCCAUGCGAUGGCUGGCACUGAGCAGUUCUGGAGGUGGGCAGAAUCUGCAAGGCUGCUGUGACAGUGACUCUGGUCAGUUAAGGCGUUCAUACGUGCUUCAAUGGCAUGGCUGUGAUGCACAGCACAAGUUCAGAUGGGAGGAAAGAAGACAUAGCCAGCUGAGAUGAUGUCGCACCCAUGAAGCAGCCAGCUGACUCCCUUGCAGGUGCUCAGAAAUGUCUAUGGAGUAUUAGAGAAAGUAUACGUGCUGUAGGACUUCUGUAGAGGAGAAAGGGAAACUGCCUUCAUCCAGCAGCUGGUGGAAGUAGAAGUAGACACUCACAGCUAAACACUGAACUGAACUGGAAUCCAGUUGCAGAGAAGGAGGAAUGAUGAGCAAAGUGGACAAGACCUUGCUGGUGAAAUCCACAGAAACAGCUGACCUGAACAAGGUGGAACUCUUGGCCCCCAGACUGAUCAUGGGAAACCAGCAUAGGACUGAUCCAGACCCCAUGAAUGUGGGUGUCAGGGAGGAGGCCUCUGAAAUCUAUGGGGCCUCUUGUAGUAGAUCAGUACUUAUCCCUAGCAUAGGAAUGGACUUUGGGAGCCCAUUUCACAUAGAGGGAUACUCCCUCAGCCUAGACACACAGGGGAGGAGGGCCUAGGCCCUAUCCCAAAGGAUAUGACAGACUCUGAAGAGAUCCCCUAUGGAAGGCCUCACCCUCCCUGGGGAGCAGAAAUGGUAUGGAAUAGGUAGGGUGUUUAUUGGGGGGCAGGGGAGGAGAAGAGGGAGAGGGAACUGGGAUUUACAUGUAAAACAAUAUUGUUUCUAAUUUAAAUAAAA